UGUAUUUUGGGCUAGUUUCAAGAAUUCAUAAGUUAUCUGUGUUCAAUAGAAAUAUUUAACACAAAAAAAUGUCUUGGUCUAUGAUCUUACUACUAACCAAUGACAAACUUGAUUGGCCUCCUUUUUACUUUUUGUGUUUCUGGAUAGGUAAUAAAAAAUCUAAUACCUGUAUUUAUUUAUUUAUCUUAAACCUAAUUCAAUAAUUCUUAUAAUUUACAAAUCUACAUAACAGCCACAACAACACACCAAAUGCUGAAUUUAGGUCUCCCUCAGUGAGUUCCUAGGUCAAACAAUUGAUUAAAACUUCACCUUUUUUUGUGCUUAAACAAUGUGAUGGUUCACUAGUCAAUAACAUUUAAACUUAGAAUGUCUUAUUGACAGUUUACAAUUUUAUAAAUAAUGGAUAUUGCUAACUAUAUUUUAUUAAAAUAUUAAAUAAAAUACAACCAGAACAAAAAUGCAUACUACAUGAAACUAACGAAACACCUUUUUGCCACCAUCAUAAACAAGAACUUACAACUAUUGCCACGUAUUACCAUGGGCUGUGGUUUUGCCUUAAUCAAAACUAGUAUAAUAUUUGGUGCGGGUCUUUACACUGGCGUGUAUGUAGCUCAAAACUACAAGGGUACCCUGACUGGAAUGUGUGUGAAACCAGAAGAGGGAAGUGAUAAAGCUACAAAAUCUAAAACCUGAUAGAUAAAGUUGAAGAUCCAAAGGUUUUGUUUGAAAGGGCACAAACUUUUGUGAAAGACAAACUAGCAGAAGUCGGCGACAAGAAAGAUAAAUGAUUGGAAACAUGGUGCAGCUUCGACAUAGGAUAAUUCAAUAAAUACAAACAGGUCACUCAAUAAGUUUAUUGUAAAUAUUUUAAGUAGUCCUAUAAAAUGAUAAACUGAAUAAAGUUAGCAAUAAAUAUACAA